AGAGUUUGAUCAUGGCUCAGAACAAACGCUGGCGGCGUGUCUUAAGCAUGCAAGUCGAGCGGCAAGGCGGGGCGACCCGCCCUAGAGCGGCGGACUGGUGAGUAACGCGUGGGUAAUCUACCUUGGGCAUGGGGAUAGCCAUUAGAAAUAGUGGGUAAUACCGAAUACGCUCGCGGGGGGAAGGGUCCUGUGAGGAAAGGGUGCUACGGCACCGGCCUGAGAUGAGCUCGCGUCCCAUUAGCUAGUUGGUGAGGUAAGGGCCCACCAAGGCGAUGAUGGGUAGCCGGCCCGAGAGGGUGUACGGCCACACUGGGACUGAGAUACGGCCCAGACUCCUACGGGAGGCAGCAGCUAAGAAUAUUCCGCAAUGGACGAAAGUCUGACGGAGCGACGCCGCGUGGAUGAAGAAGGCCGAAAGGUUGUAAAGUUCUUUUGCGAGGGAAGAAUAACCGCAGGAGGGAAUGCCUGUGGGAUGACAUGAACUUGCGAAUAAGCCCCGGCCAACUACGUGCCAGCAGCCGCGGUAACACGUAGGGGGCGAGCGUUGUUCGGAAUUACUGGGCGUAAAGGGCAUGUAGGCGGUCUGGUAAGCCUGGCGUGAAAGACCACAGCUUAACUGUGGGGUUGCGUUGGGAACUGCUGGGCUUGAGUGACGGAGAGGGAGCUGGAAUUCCUGGUGUAGGGGUGAAAUCUGUAGAUAUCAGGAAGAACACCGAUGGCGAAGGCAAGCUCCUGGCCGAUGACUGACGCUGAGGUGCGAAAGUGUGGGGAUCAAACAGGAUUAGAUACCCUGGUAGUCCACACGGUAAACGAUGUGCACUAGGUGCUGGGGCGGUAGCCUCGGUGCCGGAGCGAACGUGGUAAGUGCACCGCCUGGGGAGUAUGCUUCGCAAGGGUGAAACUCAAAUGAAUUGACGG
rnacentral:rRNA from 1 species